AUUGAACGCUGGCGGCAGGCCUAACACAUGCAAGUCGAGCGGAUGAAGGGAGCUUGCUCCUGGAUUCAGCGGCGGACGGGUGAGUAAUGCCUAGGAAUCUGCCUGGUAGUGGGGGAUAACGUCCGGAAACGGGCGCUAAUACCGCAUACGUCCUGAGGGAGAAAGUGGGGGAUCUUCGGACCUCACGCUAUCAGAUGAGCCUAGGUCGGAUUAGCUAGUUGGUGGGGUAAAGGCCUACCAAGGCGACGAUCCGUAACUGGUCUGAGAGGAUGAUCAGUCACACUGGAACUGAGACACGGUCCAGACUCCUACGGGAGGCAGCAGUGGGGGAUAUUGGACAAUGGGCGAAAGCCUGAUCCAGCCAUGCCGCGUGUGUGAAGAAGGUCUUCGGAUUGCAAAGCACUUUAAGUUGGGAGGAAGGGCAGUAAGUUAAUACCUUGCUGUUUUGACGUUACCAACAGAAUAAGCACCGGCUAACUUCGUG
rnacentral:rRNA from 1 species